CUGGAGACCUGAGUUCUAACCAAAACAUUCAAAAUGGAGUCAUUGUUUUCACUUUUGUUGAAAUAAAGCAGUUUAUUUUGCGCGACAACAGCUUAGGACAGCCGAAAUAACAACAUCAUGGAUAAGAAAGAUGGAGUAAAGGUAUAAUACUUUCAUUGUGAUUGCUCGCUUUGGUUAAACUUUUAAAGAAAUACUGAACAGAAGUUCCAAGCAUCAAACUUUAUACGUCGGUUUUAAUAAAGUUGCAAUGAUUUGUUGGUGUUUUUUGUUAAAUACUAAAACAUUUAAAACUUUUAUUAGACUUUAUACUUUGUGCUAACUACUUUAAGCUUUAAAUUAUCCAUUUGCUAACUACUUUAAGCUGAAAAUACAUAAAAAAUGAAUAUUGCCCGCUGCAUGAUAUAACUGCAUGAUGAUAGUGCUUAUGAAUGAAAUCCAUCAACAGUGGCGUAGCCAGCCCGACAAUUUGGUCCCGCUAUGCAAAUUCAAAAAUAUUAUCAUUAUUCAUUUCUUUAGAAAUUGAUUGUUUUCACAGUCAAUGAACACAAAAAUAUUUGCAUAGCGGGACUAAAUCGUCGGGCUGGCUACGCUACUGCCCAUCAAUACUUGCAUUAUUUAAGUAUUCUGUAGAAAACAUAUUGAAACAUCAAGGUAUAUAAUCACUGCAUUGCAUACUUCAAUUUUCAGGUCCUCAGUGAGGUUUUUCGAUGUUUCCGAUGUUUUAUAUGUAUGGAAAAAUUGCAAGAUGCUCGGAUGUGCCCACAUUGCUCCAAGCUUUGUUGUUUAGCGUGUAUUCAGGUAUAUUUUACAAGAUUGUGCAUACAUACGGUUAG